rnacentral:rRNA from 1 species
UACGUAGGGUGCAAGCGUUUGUCCGGAAUUAUUGGGCGUAAAGAGCUCGUAGGCGGUCUGUCGCGUCGGAUGUGAAAGCCCGGGGCUUAACCCCGGGUCUGCAUUCGAUACGGGCAGACUAGAGUGUGGUAGGGGAGGAUCGGAAUUCCUGGUGUAGCGGUGAAAUGCGCAGAUAUCAGGAGGAACACCGGUGGCGAAGGCGGGUCUCUGGGCCGAUACUGACGCUGAGGAGCGAAAGCGUGGGGAGCGAACAGG